UGGGGAAUAUUGGGCAAUGGGCGCAAGCCUGACCCAGCAACGCCGCGUGAAGGAAGAAGGCUUUCGGGUUGUAAACUUCUUUUCUCAGGGACGAAGCAAGUGACGGUACCUGAGGAAUAAGCCACGGCUAACUACGUGCCAGCAGCCGCGGUAAUACGUAGGUGGCGAGCGUUAUCCGGAUUUACUGGGUGUAAAGGGCGUGUAGGCGGGAAAGCAAGUCAGAUGUGAAAACCAUGGGCUCAACCCAUGGCCUGCAUUUGAAACUGUUUUUCUUGAGUACUGGAGAGGCAGACGGAAUUCCUAGUGUAGCGGUGAAAUGCGUAGAUAUUAGGAGGAACACCAGUGGCGAAGGCGGUCUGCUGGACAGCAACUGACGCUGAGGCGCGAAAGCGUGGGGAGCAAACAGGAUUAGAUACC
rnacentral:rRNA from 1 species